AUGAAAGUUGAAGGAGUUUUGAGGAUUUUUUUCCACCUUGCCCUAACUCAAAACACAAAACAGAGAACCAAUCUUCAAUCUUCUUGUAUCACACGCUUUCGCCUCAGCUUUCGAGUUUUCUUCUCACAAUCAUCUUUCAAGCUUCGCCUACGUUGUCUGCUUCGUUUCUCAGUGCAGCCGCCAUCUGUUUUCCUUUCUCAGCGCCGCCGCCGUCUGCUUUGUUUCUCAGUGCCGCCGCCGACUUUUCAUUUCUCAGCGCCGCAGCCGUCUGUUACGUUUCUCAGCGCCGCCGCCGCCUGUUUCGUUUCUCAGUGCCGCCGCUGUCUGCUUCGUUUCUUAGUGAUGCCGCCCCUGUUCUGCGCCUCCGUAUCUGCGUUUCUCAUGUAG